CCAGCCAUGCCGCGUGCAGGAUGACUGCCCUAUGGGUUGUAAACUGCUUUUAUACGGGAAGAAACGCACCUACGUGUAGGUGUCUGACGGUACCGUAAGAAUAAGGACCGGCUAACUCCGUGCCAGCAGCCGCGGUAAUACGGAGGGUCCGAGCGUUAUCCGGAAUCAUUGGGUUUAAAGGGUCCGUAGGCGGGCCGUUAAGUCAGGGGUGAAAGUCUGCGGCUCAACCGUAAAAUUGCCUUUGAUACUGGCGGUCUUGAGUCGUUGUGGAGUUGCCGGAACAUGUGGUGUAGCGGUGAAAUGCAUAGAUAUCACAUAGAACACCGAUCGCGAAGGCAGGUGACUAACAACGUACUGACGCUGAUGGACGAAAGCGUGGGUAGCGAACGGGAUUAGAUACCCCGGUAGUCCACGCCGUAAACGAUGGAUACUAGCUGUCGGGCCUUCGGGCUCGGCGGCCAAGCGAAAGUGAUAAGUAUCCCACCUGGGGAGUACGUUCGCAAGAAUGAAACUCAAAGGAAUUGACGGGGGCCCGCACAAGCGGUGGAGCAUGUGGUUUAAUUCGAUGAUACGCGAGGAACCUUACCAGGGCUUAAAUGUAGUGGGACAGGCUUAGAGAUAGGCUUUUCUUCGGACUCAUUACAAGGUGCUGCAUGGUUGUCGUCAGCUCGUGCCGUGAGGUGUCAGGUUAAGUCCUAUAACGAGCGCAACCCCUACCGUUAGUUGCCAGCGAGUCAAGUCGGGGACUCUAACGGGACUGCCGGUGCAAACCGUGAGGAAGGUGGGGACGACGUCAAAUCAUCACGGCCCUUACGUCCUGGGCCACACACGUGCUACAAUGGCCGGUACAGAGGGAAGCCACCCCGCGAGGGGGGAGCGGAUCUAUAAAACCGGUCACAGUUCGGAUCGGGGUCUGCAACUCGACCCCGUGAAGCUGGAAUCGCUAGUAAUCGGAUAUCAGCCAUGAUCCGGGUGAAUACGUUCCCGGGCCUUGUACACACCGCCCGUCAAGCCAUGGAAAGCCGGGAGUGC
rnacentral:rRNA from 1 species